rnacentral:rRNA from 1 species
UGGGGAAUCUUGGACAAUGGGGGCAACCCUGAUCCAGCCAUGCCGCGUGAGUGAUGAAGGCCUUAGGGUCGUAAAGCUCUUUCGCCUGUGAAGAUAAUGACGGUAGCAGGUAAAGAAACCCCGGCUAACUCCGUGCCAGCAGCCGCGGUAAUACGGAGGGGGUUAGCGUUGUUCGGAAUUACUGGGCGUAAAGCGCACGUAGGCGGACCAGAAAGUUGGGGGUGAAAUCCCGGGGGCUCAACCCCGGAACUGCCUCCAAAACUAUUGGUCUAGAGUUCGAGAGAGGUGAGUGGAAUUCCAAGUGUAGAGGUGAAAUUCGUAGAUAUUUGGAGGAACACCAGUGGCGAAGGCGGCUCACUGGCUCGAUACUGACGCUGAGGUGCGAAAGUGUGGGGAGCAAACAGGAUUAGAUACCCUGGUAGUCCACGCCGUAAAACGAUGUCUGCUAGUCGUUGGGGGCGUAGCCCUUCAGUGA